rnacentral:misc_RNA from 1 species
GAUGAAGAACGUAGCGAAAUGCGAUAAGUAAUGUGAAUUGCAGAAUUCAGUGAAUCAUCGAAUCUUUGAACGCACCUUGCGCCCUUUGGCCAUUCCGAAGGGCAUGCCUGUUUGAGUAUCAUGAACACCUCAACUCUUUAUGGUUUUCCAUGAUGAGCUUGGACUCUGGGGGUUUUGCUGGCUCACAGUCGGCUCCUCUAAAAUGAAUCAGCUUACCAGUGUUUGGUGGGUAUCAUGGGUGUGAUAACUAUCUACGCUUGUGGUUUUUCCACCAGGUAACCUUCAGCAGUGGAGGUUCGCUGGAGCUCAUAGAUGUCUCUCCUCAGUGAGGACAGCCCUUUGAAUGUUUGAUCUCAAAUCAGGUAGGACUACCCGCUGAACUUAAGCAUCUCAAUAAGCGGAGGA